rnacentral:rRNA from 1 species
UACGGAGGGUGCAAGCGUUAUCCGGAUUUACUGGGUUUAAAGGGUGUGUAGGCGGACUUUUAAGUCAGGGGUGAAAUCCCGGAGCUCAACUCCGGAACUGCCUUUGAUACUAUUAGUCUUGAAUAUUGUUGAGGUGGGCGGAACGGGUCAUGUAGCGGUGAAAUGCAUAGAUAUGACCCGGAACACCGAUUGCGAAGGCAGCCCGCUAAGCAAUGAUUGACGCUGAGGCACGAAAGCGUGGGGAUCAAACAGG